rnacentral:rRNA from 1 species
CCUACGGGGUGCAGCAGUGAGGAAUAUUGGUCAAUGGACGAGAGUCUGAACCAGCCAAGUAGCGUGAAGGAUGACUGCCCUAUGGGUUGUAAACUUCUUUUAUAAAGGAAUAAAACGAGGCACGUGUGCCUGUUUGCAUGUACUUUAUGAAUAAGGCUCGGCUAACUCCGUGCCAGCAGCCGCGGUAAUACGGAGGAUCCGAGCGUUAUCCGGAUUUAUUGGGUUUAAAGGGAGCGUAGAUGGGUUGUUAAGUCAGUUGUGAAAGUUUGCGGCUCAACCGUAAAAUUGCAAUUGAUACUGGCAGUCUUGAGUACAGUUGAGGUAGGCGGAAUUCGUGGUGUAGCGGUGAAAUGCUUAGAUAUCACGAAGAACCCCGAUUGCGAAGGCAGCUUACUAAACUGUGACUGACAUUGAUGCUCGAAAGUGUGGGUAUCAAACAGGAUUAGAUACCCUUGUAGUC